rnacentral:lncRNA from 1 species
UUGUCUUCUUUGUAAAAGGACAACUACUGAUUGAUAAUGAUUAGGGGGUCAAGGGCAUAUGGCAACGAUGCUGCCUACCAUUUCUAGCUAGUACCGUUGUCUGCAAAGGUUCCAAUCAAAACCAGCGUUAGAUUUUAUUUUAUUUUUUUAUAAAUUUAUUUUGAGAUAUCGCAUUAGAUUUAUUAAAGAAGGGAGCAAGCAACUAGUGAAGAUGAA